rnacentral:SRP_RNA from 1 species
UGCAGCCGGGGAGUUAGCGGUGCCCUGUACCUGCAAUCCGCUAUAGCAGGGGUGAUGGUCGGCCCAGGGUCUGUAUCUGUGGGGCUGCCCUCGGUAAGUGGCGUUGAGGCUCGGGUCUUGCGCGACAGGAAUCUGUGAACCGUGUCAGGUCGGGAACGAAGCAGCACUAAGCAGAACCUCUUGUGCGCCGCGAGGUUGCCGGGGCUGAGUUAACUGCCGUGGUAACGCCUAUG